GCGCGCGUAGGUGGUUUGUUUAAGUUGGAUGUGAAAUCCCCGGGCUCAACCUGGGAACUGCAUUCAAAACUGACUGACUAGAGUAAGGUAGAGGGUGGUGGAAUUUCCUGUGUAGCGGUGAAAUGCGUAGAUAUAGGAAGGAACACCAGUGGCGAAGGCGACCACCUGGACUAAUACUGACACUGAGGUGCGAAAGCGUGGGGGAGCAAAACAGGAUUAGAUACCCUUGU
rnacentral:rRNA from 1 species